rnacentral:rRNA from 1 species
UACGUAGGAUGCAAGCGUUGUCCGGAUUUACUGGGCGUAAAGCGCGCGCAGGCGGCACUCUAAGUACGUCGUGAAAUAUCCCGGCUCAACCGGGAGGGUGCGAUGUAGACUAGGGAGCUAGAGGUCGGUAGAGGGGGGUGGAAUUGCUGGUGUAGCGGUGAAAUGCGUAGAGAUCAGCAGGAACACCCGUGGCGAAGGCGGCCCCCUGGGCCGUAACUGACGCUGAGGAGCGAAAGCGUGGGGAGCGAACAGG